rnacentral:rRNA from 1 species
UACAGAGGGUGCGAGCGUUAAUCGGAAUUACUGGGCGUAAAGCGCGCGUAGGCGGCUUUGCAAGUCGGGUGUGAAAUCCCCAGGCUUAACCUGGGAACUGCAUUCGAGACUGCAUUGCUAGAGUAUGGGAGAGGGAAGUGGAAUUUCCGGUGUAGCGGUGAAAUGCGUAGAUAUCGGAAGGAACAUCAGUGGCGAAAGCGAGUCUCUGGACAGUUACUGACACUGAGGCACGAAGGCCAGGGGAGCAAACGGG